AGGCGUGGUCACGUGACAGGACCGAGCGAUGGGAGGAUUCUGGUGCACCCCGGAAGGAGGAUUUUUAAUUCUUCUGUUUUCUUGUCUAUCGCAAAACAGAGUUUACAUGUAUUUUCCUUUUUUCUUAGCUUAAGAAUUGAAGACUUUGGCCGGAUUAGACCUGGUUGUGUGGAGAGGAGAAUUAAUAACUACAGUGGAGCGAGCCCUCCUGCGAGAGUCAGGAUACUACUAUGCUAGUCCCGACUCUGCCCCAAAUGCCUGGAGAGACUUUGGCUAAGUCACUUUUUCUUUCCGCGGGCUGUUUACCGUUGGUAAAAGGAGAGGGUCACCCACUCACUCCACAAACAUUUGUUGAGUCAUUGGUUAUAGCGGGAACAAGACAGGCAAAGUUCUUCCUGAAUUCUGGUCGGAGAUGGAUAACGGAAACAACUUUGUUGAGGGUCUCGUUCUGUCGCCCUGGCCGGAGUGCAGUGUCAUGAUCAGGGCUCGACCUCCCGGGCUCAAACAAUCCCCCUACUUCAGCCACCCAAGUAGCUAGGACCACAGAUAUUUCUACAAUUUUAAUUUAAAGAUGAAGUUAGAAGGCCGGGUGCGGUGGCUCAUGCCUGUAAUCCCAGCACUUUGGAAGGCUGAGGUGAGAGAAUUGCUUCAGCUCAGGAGUUUGAAACCAGCCUGGGCAAAAAAGUGAAACUGUCUCUAAAACAAAUAAGGCUAGGAGCACAAAAGGGCUUUGUAUUGAUUUCUGGCCACGGUAACUAGGCCAAGAAAGAAAUUCUAUCCUCCUGCAGACCAGCAACAACCACAGCCAAGGAAUGCUCCUCCGGCAUUUGCCAUCCACUUGUUAAAAUGAUUAAACUAGGACUGCAUCAUGGUGGGAUGACCAGCACACUUCAAAGGGAAAAAAAUUUUAAAUCGGAAGAUGAAACAGUUUUAAAAAUCACUUCAAAAAAAAAAAAAAAACAACAACAACAAGGCUGUGCAAUGUGGGCAUUUUAAAUCAUUAACUCAGUACUUGAUGUCUGAUUAAAGUCCUGCCCUUGUGGAAGAACUGCCUGUGUUUCUCUGAUAUACACUGACCUACAAUGGAGAGUGCUUAGCGCGGCUAUGUCUCAGUUUAACGAGUCAUACCCCACCCAUGCGUCCUGCCUGGUCUCUGCUGAACUCUUUUCCCUUUGCUCGGCUACAAGUUUUGCAGCUUCCUCACCUGAACUGUCCUGCCCCACUCUCUUGUACUGUAACUUCUAAGCAACCUGCAGGACUCUCCUUAGGCUCCAGUCUUUUUUUGAGACACAGUGUCUCUCUGUCGCCCAGGCUGGAGUGCAGCGGUGCGAUCUCAGCUCACUGCAACCUCCAUCUCCCAGAUUCAAGCAAUUCUUGUGCCUCAGCUUCCCGAGUAGCUGGGAUCACAGGCACGCACCACCACUCCCAGCUAAGUUUUGUACUUUUAGUAGAGAUGGUGUUUCGCCAUGUUGGCCAGGCUGGUCUUGAAUUCCUGACCUCAAGUGAUCCACCUGCCUCAGCCUCCCAAAGUGCUGGGAUUACAGUCAUGAGCCACCAUGCCUGGCCUAGACUCCAUAUUCUUAUUAAAAUUUUUAUUUUAGAGAUGGGUCUUGCUAUGUUCCCUAGGCUGGCCUUGAACUUCUGGACUUGACAGACCCUCCUGCCUGCCUCUUGAGUAGCUGCAAAUAGAGGUGUGCACAAUCGCACCAGCAGCUUCAUAUUCUUUGGCAGUCCCCCUCAUCCCUCUGAUCCUGCAGUACCCUCUGCAAAUGCCAUUUACCUCCCUAUUCCUUCUUACAACAUCCUCACUUUCUGCAAGGACAAGGACCACUUCAUGCAUCUUUGUAUGAUAAAUUCCAGGCACACCAGAGGGGCUGUCAUAACCACUAUUUGGUGACCAAAAAGAUACUUUUAUAGAACCUAAACAUUGCUAUAGAUUAAACAUAUACUAACCAUUCCAGAAAUUUUAUCAAGCUCUAAGUACUGUGCUUUCUACAGACUAUUAAUUUUUCUUCACUCUGUCUAAACCAUAGAUGCUUUCCUGAAAAACACGAACUCUAAUCACAAUUAAGUACUAAAGAAUUCUUUUAAAUGGAAGUACCCUUGGGAAACAACUUUGACAAUAAAGAAUUCUUUAGGUCAAACAAA
rnacentral:lncRNA from 1 species